rnacentral:rRNA from 1 species
CCUACGGGCGGCAGCAGUGAGGAAUAUUGGUCAAUGGGCGCGAGCCUGAACCAGCCAAGUAGCGUGAAGGAUGAAUGCCCUACGGGUUGUAAGCUUCUUUUAUAAGGGAGUAAAGUGAGGCACUUGUGCCUUUUUGUAUGUACUUUAUGGAUAAGGAUAGGCUAACUCAGUGCCAGCAGCCGCGGUAAUACGGAGGAUCCGAGCGUUAUCCGGAUUUAUUGGGUGUAAAGGGAGCGUAGAUGGGUUGUUAAGUCAGUUGUGAAAGUUUGCGGCUCAACCGGAAAAUUGCAAUUGAUACUGGUAGUCUUGAGUACAGUUGAGGGAGGUGGAAGUCGUGGUGUAGCGGUGAAAUGCUUAGAGAUCACGAAGAAUUCCGAUUGCGAAGGCAGCCUACUAAACUGCGACUGACAUUGAUGCGCGAAAGUGUGGGUAUCAAACAGGAUUAGAUACCCGAGUAGUC